rnacentral:rRNA from 1 species
GACGAACGCUGGCGGCGUGCUUAACACAUGCAAGUCGAGCGGAGCGGCGAACGGGGGAGUAACGCGUGAGUAACUGGCCCCCUCUCUGGGAUAACAGUUGGAAACGGCUGCUAAUACCGGCUAGUGGGGGAUGACUCGAGACCUAUCAGCUUGUUGGUGGGGUAGUGGCCUACCAAGGCGACGACGGGUAGCCGGCCUGAGAGGGCGACCGGCAACAGUGGGCUGAGAUACGGCCCAAACUCCUACUGGAGGCAGCAGUGGGGAAUAUUGCACAAGGGGGGAAACGCUGAUGCAGAAACGCCGCGGGCGGGAUGACUGCCUUCGGGUUGUAAACCGCUUUCAGCCAUGACGCGGUAGUGGCAGAAGAAGCACCGGCUAACUACGUGCCAGCAGCCGCGGUAAUAC